UUAGGCUUAACCAAAAAGGGCUUAUCUUGAUAGGGUAAGAUUAAAAAGCCUAUG
rnacentral:tRNA from 1 species